ensembl:lncRNA
GGAUGAUCCACACACACUCCUCCGUAUAUGAACAGUAUAUGUCCCGAGUUUGAUAGUUUAUAAUGGGAUUGUAGUUUAGGAGGGUCUAAACCCUGCAAUGCAUUUGCAUUCUGUAAAGGGGCCAUGUCAGGCAGCGUUUUAAAAUAUAAGUAGCACGUGCGCUCACACACACGCACACGCGCACAGCUCUAUGAGUUUGAUGGAGCGAAUACGUAACACGUGAACCACCCCCACUAUAUGUCGUCCUCCUAAACUCUAACCAGCAUGUAAAUCGUGAACCUAUGUGAGUUUGUGACUGGAUGUGUGUAUGUGUGCUGGGUUUUUAGGGAAACGCCCACCGUACGUGAACGCCCCCAAUCGUGGGAUCGCGAGGCUCCGAUAGGUCGGCGCAGGAGAUUCUCGGGCUUUAUAAAGGACCAGGUUGCGACCAGUUGCCCUGCUGCUGCUUUCGCUUAUUUCUGUCUUAAUUCCAUCUUUUGUACCUCCGUUACCACCAUGCCCAGCAACCAUAAGAAGAACAAGCGCCGCAUGAGGAAAAAGUUCCUCGCCGGCCAAACAGAAGCUGCAGAGAUCAAGAAACUGCAGGAGUCUGCUUUGAUUCUGCCAGGGCAGAAGAUUGUAUUUCCAGCUUCUCUGAUCACGCCAGUGAGAGAAGUGAAGCCUGUGGUCUUGGUCAAAGAACAUGUCAAUGUUCCCAAAGCUGCCAAGGUUGCCAAACCCCGAAAGCCAGUGCAAGCAGAUGUUAUUGAUGGGAUCAGCGCAAAGGCACCAAAGGCCAAACCUGCAGCAGCUGUGGUGGCAGCCGUAGUCGCCGAAGCCAUAGCCCCAGCAGAGAAGGCAGUUUGCAAACCUGUGCAGGCACCAGUUGCUGAAACCAAAGUAGCAGCUGAAGUAACGGCAGAGGUGGCUGUUGCAGUCCCAGUGGUAGUGGCUGAAGUACCGGAGGAAGCGGCUGAAGUAACUGCGGUGGAGGCUGUUGCUGCACCAGUGGUGGCAGAGGAGGCGGUUCAAGUGGUAGCAGAAGAGGUUGUCGACGUACCGGUUGUAGCAGCUGAAGUAACGGCAGAGGAGGAUGUUGUAGCAGCUGAAGUAACGGCAGAGGAGGAUGUUGCCGCACCAGUGGUAGCAGAGGAGGAUGUUGCCGCACCAGUGGUAGCAGAGGAGGCUGUUGCCGCACCAGUGGUAGCAGAGGAGGCUGUUGCCGCACCAGUGGUAGCAGAGGAGGCUGUUGCCGCACCAGUGGUAGCAGAGGAGGCUGUUGCCGCACCAGUGGUAGCAGAGGAGGCUGUUGCCGCACCAGUGGUAGCAGAGGAUGCUGUUGUAGCAGCUGAAGUAACGGCAGAGGAGAUUGUGGUAGCAGCAGCAGAGGAGGCUGUGGCUGUACCAGUGUUGGCCGCUGAAACCGAAGCCACACCAGAACCCAUAGCAGUAGCAGAUCCAGUAGUGGUGGAGGCUGUGGUCGCUGAAACCGAAGCAACACCAGAACCAGCAGCAGAGGAGGCAGUUACUGAAAUUGAAGUCCUACCUGAGCCAGCCACAGUGGAGGAGGCGGUUAUCGAUGCUGUGUGUGCCGCAGUUUCCGAAAUCGAAGUCUUGCCAGCAGCAGUGGAGGGGGUGGUUAUCGAUACCGUGAUUGCCGCGGUUACAGAAACCGAAGUCACACCAGAAACGGCAGCCGUGGAGGAUGUUAGUGAAACAGUCUCAGCCGUGGCAACAGAAACCGAAGUCGUAGCGGAAACCACAGUGGAAGCAGAGUCGGGAGUUGAGGCUUCUUUGGAAAUUGAAGCUGUUGUUGAGGAGGUGGCUGUAGCGUGCGAAAGUGAGCCAUCCGUGGUGGCUGAAGUGCAGGUUGAAGAGAAGAGCGUCGAGGAGGUGGUGGUGUUGACUGAACAAGUUGUCACAAUAGAUGAAAACACAGAGAGCACACUAGAGGUAUUGGCAGAAGACCUCUGUCACCUCGAGCAGAAGGCUUUCAUCGAAGAGCCUUGUCUGACAGAGCUUCCAACAAAGACCAUGACAAUGGAGAUUUCCCCACUGGAAGGCCUGGUUUCUGCUCAGACUCCGGUUGAUUUACAUUGAGAACUCGGGCCACGUUGAGAUCUGCAUGUGAUGCGAUGCAGAUUAAAUUGACGGGACGGAAGACUCUAUCCAGGGGCUGAGCAGUCACACUCUACCCUAUCCAUUUAUCAAAGGGUUUAAACACAGAACUUUCAAACAAUAAUCACACUAAAGUGCCUUCUUAUAAAGUAACAUGAAGUUCUCCAAGGAAUCGACUCGUCUUCGGCCCUGUCGGGUAUAAUCUGGACCAACGGGUAUCUUUAAAGGAUGCACAUGGGUUGCGGGGGUUGAUUAGGAUACAUAUGGCUUUGUUAGGGUACAUGUGGGGUAGAACACAUAGAAGGUCCGAUACAUGGUCACACCCGAGGCUCGUUGCCACGGAGACAGUGUUCACUGUUGAAGAUGCUAUACCAGCAAGGCGCAUCAAUCAAGUCCAUUUUUUCCUCGUUUUUAUUCCCCGUUUUUUUUUCUUUCACCUUUUCUAUACUGUGUUUUAUAUAAUCCAUACAAUGUGCUUUAGCAAAGCCCAGAAAAAGUGAUGGGGUUUUGUUGGUUGGGACAGAAGAACUUUCAUCUUUAUGAAAUAAAUGAAGCUGUAACUCAACUGAAUAAAGAUUACAAAUGUGAUAUUGAUAAUGUUAUUUCUUUGGUUUUGCUGGUUGCGGUACCUUCAUUUUGAUUACUAAAUCAGGGGGAGAGAAGGUAGAGCAGGCAAGCUGGGGAUCUGGAGAGUUACUGUAAAGAUGCUCUUUGAUUAUUCACUGCCUAAAAUGUUGGUGUCCAACUGACACAAGACCUCACCUACAUACAAACACAGUGGCCUCUUGCUAUAUGCUGAUCAACGUACACAAGGUGGUUUGUUAAGGGAAAAUCCAACAUUGGGACAAUUGUGUAACCCUGCCCUUGUUCCUAAUUGCCUACAUAUUGUGGUCGGCCAAUGUGCACCGUGUACAUCAGAAUUGUCCAAUAGCGAUCGGUGGACUACUCGGGUGUAAACAUUUCGCAUGGGCGAGGAAGGUUACUUUGGCACUUCAGACCUGAGCAUAAUAUUAACGACCCUGAACCAUAUAUAAUAGGUUAUUAAUCAAAAGUAGGCGGCGAAGGGCAAUAAAAGCUUGGGUAUGACACAAUUACAAUAAUAGUUAAAUGUAGGUAUACGUGUGUAUUUAUUCAUAUUGCAGAAUGUGAUUUCAAAUCCUAUGCAUAAGCUGUUGGUGCAGUGACAUGAAUGCAUUGUGAAUGACAGACUGCAGAGUAGAAGUCCAAGGGGCAGGCUUUGUUUUGGAGUCCCACUGCCAAGGGGAAGAAACCGUUCAGGAGGAUCAAUGUUUUUGUAUUACGGAUCAGAACCUUUCUCCUAGAUGGAAGAGGUGGUGACCGGGAUGGGAAGGAUCAGCCAAGAUGUUUCCUGCUCCUCCUGGUCCAGGGAGAGGUGGCAGCUGGUGUGUGUGUGUGUGUGUGUGUCACAGGCUGACCCUGUGAUCUGCUCCAGACUGCCCUGUCUAUCCAUUGCGGUGGAGGCAAUCAGACUUUGAUAAUGAGCUGAGGAUGUAAUCCGUGAUGGCCGUGUGGAACUAGACCAUGGUUUCCUGGGGCAUCAGGUCGAAUUUAUAGCCAGAACACCUUCCUAACCUGAGCAUUCUUGAUGGUAGAGGUGAUGGAUAAGGUCCUCUAGGGAUUGAUGGGCCCAGUUGGUCAAAAAUAAUCUGCUCAGAUUAUGGCGGAUUGGAUGAAAUCUUGAAAUGGGUUGUUUAAAAGAAUGAAUAUAUAUUCUGAAAUAAAAACUUUGCAUAUUGUAUUAGUAAAAAGUACAUUAGUAGAGUACAAAGAUUUAUUUAUCAUUUACAAGUGUAAAACAGUACAUUAGGCUGCCAAUUGUGCCUUUCAAUACAAUCAAGACUGUCCUAAAAAUGAAGCCUUCAAUUAGCUGUCAAUAUCAAAGAUAAACAAUCUUUUAUAAAAUCAUUUGUUAUUAAUGUAUGGUAAAUAUAUGAGAUGAAUCAGUAAAUAAGUAGUUUGUUAGGUGAGUGCUGCAUGCAGCGAACAACCAUUCUUAUGUUUUAUUUAGGGCUUGGCAACAAUUAAAAGUUUUAAUUGCAAUUAAUCACAUAGUAUGUUGAGUUAACUCGCGAUUAAUCACAUUUUAAAUCAACCAAUUUAAAUCAGAUUAUCGAAAACUAGGCUAAUAGAUCUUGAAGGAGUUUUAUUGACCCUCAGUGUGGGUUGAAUAGGAAAUUUACGGAACACCACAGAUUUAGGAAUUGUAAACAGGCAGUUAAUUAGUACAAUUGUCAACCAACAGUUACUACGAGUGUAGUUUAAUUCAAAUAAGUAGCGCCACAUAUUUUGGAAUAGUAAACAGGCUGUCACUUACUGCAAUUGUAAUUGAAUGUAAAGUAAGUGGAACUAAAAAUAAAAUGAUUUUGGAUAUGAAUGUUCACAUUCUGUGGGCAAGACCUUUGAUAAUCAUGUACGUACUACUUUUAAAAUAUGUCAAUGUGAGGACAGCAAAUCUAUUCAGCUUUUCUUUUUUUUUAAAGCUGAAUAGUUUAAAAAGUUGAAAUAAUUGAAAAACGCUGAAUAGAUAGCCAUCAUGUCGUUAAAGAGCUGCAUGUUUUGAUAGUUGAAUGGUUUCUG